CAAAGCUACUGUGUGAGGGAGCCUUUGCUCAGAAUGAGGCAGUGACUCUAAGAGCAAGGGAUCUUCCCCUGCAAUGUUGCACUGUUUCUAUUGAGCAAUGGCCAGUGAGCAGGUUCUCUCCUCCCUACCCCCACACAGACACUAACCCAAGCAGCAAGGUGAAGUCUACUGUGGUAAGUGUUUGAGCAGGAUCUCCGUGGUUUCUGCCACCUCAAUGCCACCACCUUCCAUACCAGACAGAGCUUCCUAUUUUGAUGGGCAAGAAGAGAAUUUGCCAUGGCUCAAGACUGUCAGUGGAAACCCACUUCCAUGAAGCAGUGCUGGCCUUUGCCAAUGACCCACCUGGAAGAAGGGUGAAAGAUCUCAUGAACUCACCAAGACACACUUUGAAGUGGCCCUGUUGUGCUCUAUAGGACAUGGGAUAUCUCAGUGAAGAAUGGAGCCCCACUGCAGGCAUCAGUACCCAUCUGAUAUAUAGUUACAGAAGGCAUCUCAGAUUCACAACACCCUCACCAGCCCCCCACUGAAUAGCAUGUCAUCUGGCAACAGGAGGCGUUUGAUUAUAUUUGGAUGGCACUCCUGCAUCAACUCCAGUUGUCUCUGAAUUGGAACUGAUGGGCCUCACGUGUUGCAGCCAACAAUUUGCUUUCACCCACUCCCCUCUCUGAAAUGAACCAUUCUCUGAGAAAACAAGAAACCUACGUGCCAUCCUGGGUGAGAGACUAACAGGAACUGUGUCCCAGCAUCGCAUCCACGCAUGGCAUCAAGAGCACACUGAGAGGGGUUUCCAACAACAAAUUGUGCUUCAAGCUUCUGUGGAAAGACUCUUUGAACCAGAGGAAAAGUUCUCCUCAGAGUAUGAUAGCCUCUGUGGUCAUCUCAGUUCACAGGCAUUGAGUUCUUACUGUGUGCCCCAAGCUAUUGUCUCCUGUAGCAAGUCUCUAUAACUUCACUCUCCCCAUUUUGACUUAUGUGCUCUGUUAGUAGCUGCUGCAGGCAGAAUAAUGACUCCCCAAAGAUGUCCACAUGCUAAUCCUCAGAACCUGUGAGUAAAUUAUAUCCUAUGGGGAGGGGGUGUUAAGAUUGCAGAUGGAAUUAAGCUGGCUAAUCAGCUGACCUUAAAAAAAUAGAUUAGCUAUCAAGGUUACCCUGUGGCCCCAGUGUAGUCACAAAUGUCUUAAAUAG